rnacentral:pre_miRNA from 1 species
CAGGAGGGGAAGGGUCCCUCAACCCAGAUUGCAAGAGGGUGCAGGCCAGGCCGAGGGACCCACCCCACCGG